GUAGUCAUAUGCUUGUCUCAAAGAUUAAGCCAUGCAUGUCUAAGUAUAAACACGUUAUACUGUGAAACUGCGAAUGGCUCAUUAAAUCAGUUAUAGUUUAUUUGAUGGUUUUUGCUACAUGGAUAACUGUGGUAAUUCUAGAGCUAAUACAUGCGUACAAGCCCCGACUUCUGGAAGGGGUGUAUUUAUUAGAUAAAAAUCAACACUGUUGGUGAAUCAUGAUAACUUCUCGGAUCGCAUGGCCUCGUGCUGGCGAUACUUCAUUCAAAUAUCUGCCCUAUCAACUGUCGAUGGUAGGAUAGAGGCCUACCAUGGUUGCAACGGGUAACGGGGAAUG
rnacentral:rRNA from 1 species